rnacentral:rRNA from 1 species
AACGAACGCUGGCGGCGUGGAUAAGACAUGCAAGUCGAACGGGAUAACAUCUGUAGCAAUACAGGUGUUAUUUAGUGGCGAACGGGUGCGUAACACGUGGGGAAUCUGCCGAGAAGUGGGGGAUAGCUCGCCGAAAGGCGAAUUAAUACCGCAUAUGGUCAGUGAAGACAUCUUCACAACACCAAAGCCGGGGCAACCUGGCGCUUUUUGAUGACCCCGCGGCCUAUCAGCAGUUGGUGAGGUAACGGCCCACCAAGGCUAUGACGGGUAGCUGGUCUGAGAGGACGACCAGUCACACUGGAACUGAGACACGGUCCAGACACCUACGGGUGGCAGCAGUCGAGUAAUUUUUCUCAAGUGGGGGAAACCCUGAAGGAGCGACGCCGCGUGGAGGAU